CAAUAGCGUAUAUUAAAGCUGUUGCGGUUAAAAAGCUCGUAGUUGGAUUUCUGUCAAGGACAACUGGUCCGCCCUCCGGGUGAGCACAUAGUUUGGUCUUGACAUCUUGCUGGAAGCUGUUGCUGCACUUGGCUGUGUGGCGCAGUGUUCAGCACUUUCACUUUGAGGAAAUUGGAGUGUUUCAAGCAGGCACAUGCCUUUGGACACAGUAGCAUGGAAUAAUUAGAUUGGGCUUUUGCUCCAAUUUGCCGGUUUCUGGAGCUGAGGUGAGUAUUAAUGGGGAUUGUUGGGGGCAUCCGAAUUUAGCCGUCAGAGGUGAAAUUCUUGGAUCUGCUAAAGACGGACAACUGCGAAAGCGUUUGCCCAGGAUGUUUUCAUUGA
rnacentral:rRNA from 1 species